AUGUGUUUAACGGCUGCGGUAUUCUGACCGUGCGAAGGUAGCGUGAUCACUUGUCUUUUAAAUAGAGACCCGUAUGAAUGGUAAAACGAGGGCUUAGCUGUCUCCUUUUUCAUGUCAAUGAAAUUGAUCUUCUCGUGCAAAAGCGGGAGUUAUAUCAUAAGACGAGAAGACCCUGUGAAGCUUUAGAUAAUGGGGCAGACCUGGCCAAUAAGCCUUAAUAAGGGGUUGAGCUGUAUAAGUUCUGUCUUAAUGUCUUUGGUUGGGGCGACCACGGAGAGUCACGUAACCUCCGUGUGGACUGGGUGCAAGAGUGUUUUGUUCCUAAAGCCAAGAGCUGUUGCUCUAAUAAACAGAAUUUCUGACCUCCUAUGAUCCGGCAAUGCUGAUCAACGGACCGAGUUACUCCAGGGAUAACAGCGCCAUCCUCUUUCAGAGCCCUUAUCGACAAGGGGGUUUACGACCU
rnacentral:rRNA from 1 species